UACGUAGGGUGCAAGCGUUGUCCGGAAUUAUUGGGCGUAAAGAGCUCGUAGGCGGUCUGUCACGUCGGCUGUGAAAUCCCGAGGCUCAACCUCGGGUCUGCAGUCGAUACGGGCAAACUAGAGUAUUGCAGGGGAGACUGGAAUUCCUGGUGUAGCGGUGAAAUGCGCAGAUAUCAGGAGGAACACCGAUGGCGAAGGCAGUGGUCUGGGCCGAUACUGACGCUGAGGAGCGAAAGCGUGGGGAGCGAACAGG
rnacentral:rRNA from 1 species